UGCCGUGCGUGCAUACACUCACAACUGAUACAAUGCAGACACACCAUCCAAGCUCAAUUCUGAGUCACUGUGGUUUUUCAAUGUAAGUAACUUUCACUGAUGUCGCCAUCCCAGAAAUGGGGUAUACCAGGGAGAUAAGGAAAGACCACGAAUUAUUCAUUCAACUGGUUCAGCAACAGCAUCGUUCAGGAAUUUCGUGCUCUCAUUCUUUCACAUUCUGUUUAUUCACCGGCGCUCUGUUCUUUAUGGAAGCUUGACUCAUCAGAAGAAAGUGAUGGGGUUCACCUCAAACUUUUAUGUCACAUGGCCAAAAACUAAAAGUCCAAGCCACUGGUUUUCCAAGUGAUGUAAUAUCCUGUAUACCACAAUGUCCCAGAGAAAUGGGAGAGUGAGGUGACUGUGAGGAGAGAUCUUGCUCAAAGAACAGCAUGUCUUCUGUAUGCAGAAUCUUAAGGGUCCCACUUUUUCCAUUCUGUCUUGAACACACACACACCAAAGACCAUGUGAAUCACUGUGGUUUCAUAGAGUCAUCUCCCCGAGCACUGGGAAACUGUGAGCAAGCAUUUCAACAGAUUGAAUAAGACAGAUGAACACUUCCUGAACCAUCCCAGACAGUGACUGUGGGGAAAGGCGCUGUAUCAAGGGAGAUAUGUUUCUGUAAGGUUUUCGUCAAGUGAAGACAGGCUGAAGUUAUGUAAGCGUCUGUAUCCUGUGAUCUGUGCACAUUUGUGUGUGCAUGAGCUGAGAGGCCUGCAGCUGCCUGACUUUCCUAAACAAGGCAUAAGAGUUAAAUUGAUAUGCAUAUUGUAAAAAUAAACAAAGAAAUUAAAAAUGAUACAUGACCUAGACACCCAGAGACUUUUGCAGAUUUGAUUCUGAAUACAAGUCUACAGUGUUGUAACUAUUGCAAUGA
ensembl:lncRNA